UCGACAGCUUUCGGACAAUUUUGCUCCUGAUUUUCGACCGGCUGUGACCGCAUCGGCACAAAGUGCUUUUGUAUUUUCAUUAAAGUAAAAUUCAAGAGUCAUUUUGGGCCAUCCAGUCGCGACUCGCGAGCACCAGUCCAAACAACCCUUAGGCUGACCCUCAAUUGGAGCUGGCGGAGGGUGAGCGUACCAUCACCAUGGCAGGGACCCUGUCUGGUGCUACACCUGUGGCAAAAGGGUGGGUUCGUCGGCGCGCUCGUCCAGAGACCACUUCGAGCAACCAACUGCUGCGCAAGUGUCUGGGAAACAUUUUUGAGCAGGACUUGGUCGAGGAUCGGACCACCAGGUCCCGACCUCUGUAAGAAUUUGUGCAAGGCGUGCCACAAAAUGGUGCUGAGCAUUGACGAGGUGGCGAGGCAGCUCAACCGAAGGAGCAGGAGGUCAUCGGCAAGUUAAAAGACCGAGGCCGAGUGCUGCCGGUCACCAAGGGCAAGAGUGGCAAAAUUUCCAGGAGGCGGUAUGGAGGUAAAAUAAAUCUAAAUAUUAAGUGAUGCGUUUUUUUGUUUUAGAAAUUUCAUAAGCAGGCGGAGGAAGGGGGUUGUCCAGAGGUUGUUGCGGAGAAAACGAUUGAGCCAUUGCACCAAAGAAGUCAAGGGGUUGCCCGCCCAAAAAGGCGUACACCCUAGCAGCCAGAAGGGAUAUGGACUCCGACCAUUGACUCCGACACUUUGAUGAAGCGGUUGGAGGAAAUUCACGGUGAAUAAAAGAAGGGUGAGGUGAGGAGAAGCAAAUCGUUGUCCGGGUUGCCUCCAACGAGGAGGCCAUGGGCUGCAACAACAGUGACCUUGACUCUGAUCCCUCUCAGGCCGAAAGGGCUGAACCUCCGGCCAAGAAAUCAAGAGCCCAUGUCAUUGAAGUGGCAAGCAAGAGGGCAGGAGGCCCACUCAAGAAGAGGGGCAGACCCCGAGACAGCGAUUUGGGCGUUGACGGUACACAUCAAGGAGGAGGAUGAGGUUGAGGAGCCGUCAGCUCUGCUGAAAUGCUCGGCCUGCGAAUUGAAAUUCACAGAGAUCCAGAAACUGAUCAACACCAGAAAGAGGUUCAUCCGCCGGAAGAGUGAGACGAAGAGAGCGCACUCGCCAAGUGCGCCCUCGGACUAACCAGUGCGACAACUGCCCCAAGAAUAUUAUGAAACCGGAGCACAACAAGCCGGAGCACUUGGCUCAGCAUGGCCAAAACGG